CAGACCAAAUCAAAUGUGAGUCAUCUAGUUAGAGGCGUGUUUGGUGAUAAAGCUAUGCAAUUAAAAUGUUUUAUAUAUAUUUUAGUUUAGUGGAUAAAGCUAGACAUAACAUAGUGUCCGCUUUUGUCAAAUACUGUGUAAGUGUGUAGUAUAUAGUUUAUAUACUACACACUGUUAGGAAGAUUAGGGUGGUAUAUCAAUGCAGACAAAGUUGAUUGAGAAGUGGAUUUCGCUGCUGUAUUGUUUGCUCUUUUGCUUGAAAUGCAGGGAAAAUCAAAUGAGAAAAGAGAUCUCAAUUGGUUGUGCUUGUGCGUGAGCUGAUGAAAGAUGCACACUAGUGCAGAAAAAGGAAGCGCCCUCUAUUAUCAUUCGGUGUUCAUUUGCUUGAAGAUACCUCUGGACACCCCUAGAACAAAACUAUUUUGAAACCCGUAUGGUCAAUUCCAAAUGGGAUUCCUACUCUGUCCAAGUCAAUUCCAGCAGAAAGAUCAUCAAGGAAGAAAAGGAUCCUCUUCUAUUUCUUUAUACUUUCAUCAGCUCACGCACAAGCACAACCAACUGAGAUCUCUUUUCUCUUUUCUCAACCAAUUGAGACCUCUUGAUCAAGUAAAAUGUUGUUUUAUAUAUUUUAUCAAUUAUUUAUAGACAGUAACUUUUUUUAAUAUCUUAUAUCAAUUAUUUAUAGUCA